rnacentral:rRNA from 1 species
GAGUUUGAUCGUGGCUCAGAUUGAACGCUGGCGGCAGGCCUAACACAUGCAAGUCGAGCGGAUGAGUGGAGCUUGCUCCAUGAUUCAGCGGCGGACGGGUGAGUAAUGCCUAGGAAUCUGCCUGGUAGUGGGGGACAACGUUUCGAAAGGAACGCUAAUACCGCAUACGUCCUACGGGAGAAAGCAGGGGACCUUCGGGCCUUGCGCUAUCAGAUGAGCCUAGGUCGGAUUAGCUAGUAGGUGGGGUAAUGGCCCACCUAGGCGACGAUCCGUAACUGGUCUGAGAGGAUGAUCAGUCACACUGGAACUGAGACACGGUCCAGACUCCUACGGGAGGCAGCAGUGGGGAAUAUUGGACAAUGGGCGAAAGCCUGAUCCAGCCAUGCCGCGUGUGUGAAGAAGGUCUUCGGAUUGUAAAGCACUUUAAGUUGGAGGAAGGGCAGUAAGUUAAUACCUUGCUGUUUUGACGUUACCAACAGAAUAAGCACCGGCUAACUUCGUGCCAGCCGCC